CGACCCAUCACACAGGCAUUUCGCGCUCUCUUCGGCAUAGGUUUUUGACAUGAAAGAUAUGAUAUGUUACUACUACAAUGAUAACAAGACAACUGAAAUUAUUGUAAAAAAUUGUAUUCUGGUUGCCAAAUACUUCAUAGACAAACAAAAAUUCCAAAAUUCUAUACCAAAAUUACACCUUUUUUUACCCGUCUUAUUAAAACAUUAACCCUAGUGAAUAACAACAAGAAUAACACCUUCCUAAAUCAUUAUAAUACGAUUUUUUUCAGAGUGAAUACAAUUGCACUAAAAUGGUUUCUAUUUUGUAUUAUUUUAUUUAUAUUAUUUUUAACUGUGUUUGUUUUGUUAGCCAUGUUUGUUGUAGUAAUGUAAGUUGAUUUUUGUAUUAUGAAUAAUAAAUAAAUAAAUAAAAUUGGUUUAUUAUUAUUAUUAGCUAAUCACACAGGUAAGGAACUGUGACGUAAUAGAAGCACCCGAAUUCGAGUUCGGGAAAGAAAAUGCAAUUUAUACUUUGCUAGCUAAGUACUUAUCUUCAACCUAGACUGGAUAUAUGUAUGUAUCGUGUCUGCCUCCAUCACGAUCAGUCACUUGCGAGCCUGAUACCGUGAACCACACAUAGCUAAUGUGCUUUAUACGUGUAACAUUAGCUAGGCUACUUGUUUGUUUUGCAAUUGCAUAGUUAGCUAACGGCUGCGCUAACGAACCAGAUUGCAAGCUAGUAGCUAGUCUAUUUAUGCUACCAGCUGGCUAACGGCUGCGCUAACGAACCAGAUUGCAAGCUAGUAGCUAGCUGUUUAUGCUACCAGCUGGCUAGCUGUACAGUUUUUUGUUUGACAUGACUUUCCCUGAUUCGAUAGCUGUCCACGAUGCGUUCAUCCUCCUCUGCAGCUUCUUUGCAUUGUGCCUCAAGUUUGGGUUUGCGUUUGUGGAGGCAGGCAAAACAGAUCCAAAGAACAUCUCCAAUGUCAUCUUUAAAAAUGUAGCAGACACAUUUGUCACUUUGCUGGCUUUCUUUCUCCAUGGCUAUGCAUUUGCCUUUGGGGAGCACAACGCUGUUAUCGGAACCCAAUUCUUCCUCACACUGAACAAGACAAACAUGGUAAACUUCUUCUUCAACUAUGUUCGCUGUGCUGUAGCCACUACUCUGGCACUAGGGGCUGCCAACGAGAGGACAGAACCAAUCGGCUACCUCAUAUCCGCAUACGUUUUCUCAGGAUUAAUCUACCCUCUGGCUUGUCACUGGGUCUGGGACCAGCAAGGCAUCUUCAGUCCAACCUCCACCUCCUACCCAUCACAGGACUAUGCAGGCAGCGGUGUGAUCUUCUUGCUUGGUGGUGCAGCGGCAGCUGUCUCACUGCGGGUUAUAGGAUCACGGGCUGGACGCUGGAGUCCCCAUUUCAAACAGACAGAGCACAGCCAGCCUAUGGUGGUGCUGGGAGGAUGCCUUCAAAUGCUGGGCUUCUUGGGCCUGGUGAUAGGCACUCACCCCCGUGUGUUGGAUGCUGAUGAGGGCCUGUUACUGGGGCUAGGCACUGUAAACUUGUUGCAUGCUGCUACAAGCGGAGGACUCUACGGACUAAUGAUCCAACGCAUCGAUAAGAACUACUAUGAUCUCGACAGCAUGCUCUCUGGGGCCAUUGCUGGCAUGGUGGCAGUGUGUGCAGGAGUAGACACCUACAUGCCUGGUGUGGCAGUCAUGUGUGGGGCCACUGGAUCUCUCCUCUUUAUUGGCUUUCGCCGCUUCCUCUGUGCUGUGAGGGUGGAUGACCCCCUUAACAUCAUCUCUGGGUACUUAAUUCCAGGGGCCUGGGGCUUGAUGCUUGCAGGUUUAUUCUCUGAUCAUGGGGCUCUUGGAGGACAUAUCCAGGUGUUGGGGAACAAUUGCAUUGUGGCACUGGUGUUAUUCUUCUGGGCAGUGGCUAUUAUGUACCCUCUUCUCUCCAUACUCAUGUGUUUUGGAGUGCUGCGAGUCCCCCGCUUUAUGGAGAAACAAGGAAUAGACAAAAUCAGACACACGCUAAGACACCCUCACGGCACCAGGAAGUCACUGAACUAA
ensembl:lncRNA